AACGAACGCUGGCGGCAGGCUUAACACAUGCAAGUCGAACGCCCCGCAAGGGGAGUGGCGCACGGGUGAGUAACGCGUGGAUAUCUGCCUUUUGGUUCGGAAUAACCCCGGGAAACUGGGGCUAAUACCGGAUGGUUCCUACGGGAUAAAGAUUUAUCGCCAAAAGAUGAGUCCGCGUACGAUUAGCUAGUUGGUGAGGUAAUGGCUCACCAAGGCGACGAUCGUUAGCUGGUCUGAGAGGACGAUCAGCCACACUGGGACUGAGACACGGCCCAGACUCCUACGGGAGGCAGCAGUGGGGAAUAUUGGACAAUGGGGGCAACCCUGAUCCAGCCAUGCCGCGUGAGUGAUGAAGGCCUUCGGGUUGUAAAGCUCUUUUGGCGGGGACGAUGAUGACGGUACCCGCAGAAUAAGCCCCGGCUAACUUCGU
rnacentral:rRNA from 1 species